rnacentral:rRNA from 1 species
UGAACGCUGGCGGCGUGCCUACUACAUGCAAGUCGAGCGAACAGAUAAGGAGCUUGCUCCUUUGACGUUAGCGGCGGACGGGUGAGUAACACGUGGGUAACCUACCUAUAAGACUGGGAUAACUUCGGGAAACCGGAGCUAAUACCGGAUAACAUUUGGAACCGCAUGGUUCUAAAGUGAAAGAUGGUUUUGCUAUCACUUAUAGAUGGACCCGCGCCGUAUUAGCUAGUUGGUAAGGUAACGGCUUACCAAGGCAACGAUACGUAGCCGACCUGAGAGGGUGAUCGGCCACACUGGAACUGAGACACGGUCCAGACUCCUACGGGAGGCAGCAGUAGGGAAUCUUCCGCAAUGGGCGAAAGCCUGACGGAGCAACGCCGCGUGAGUGAUGAAGGGUUUCGGCUCGUAAAACUCUGUUAUUAGGGAAGAACAAACGUGUAAGUAACUGUGCACGUCUUGACGGUACCUAAUCAGAAAGCCACGGCUAACUACGUG